rnacentral:rRNA from 1 species
CCGACGGUGAGAGGUGAAAGCUGGGGGAGCAAACCGGAUUAGAUACCCGGGUAGUCCCAGCCGUAAACGAUGUGCGUUAGGUGUAUCGGUGACCACGAGUCACCGAGGUGCCGAAGAGAAAUCGUGAAACGUACCGCCUGGGAAGCACGGUCGCAAGGCUGAAACUUAAAGGAAUCGGCGGGGGAGCACCACAACAGGUGGAGCCUGCGGUUUAAUCGGACUCAACGCCGGGAAACUCACCAGAUAAGACAGCUGAAUGAUAGUCGGGCUGAAGACUCUACUUGACUAGCUGAGAGGAGGUGCAUGGCCGUCGUCAGUUCGUACUGUGAAGCAUCCUGUUAAGUC